CCAAGAUAAGAGUUGCCAGUGUGUCAGUGCAGGGGAUUCUGAAAUCGUUGAGUUUGAAACAAACCUUUCUGAGGAUUCGGCAAAGUAUGUCAAUAUGAAGACCAACACAGCAAAAAACCCAAAGUCAGUCCAAAAAUCAGGUCUUGCAAAGAGAAGACUCUACAGACUGGUUGCUGUCAGCUUUGGGCUGCUGUGUGUUUUGCAAGUCACUCUGAACAUCUCCUUGUGUCUGGCCCACUCUAACUUCUUGCAGGAACAAAUAAAAUGGUUAGAGACCAAUUAUAGCAACCUGACUAAAGAGAGAGAGCAGCUACAGAUCAGUUACA